GGGGCAUGCACGGUGAAUGCCUAGGCACUGGAAGCCGAUGAAGGACGUGACAAACGAAGCUGAAAUGCUUCGGGGAGCGGUAAGUACUCAGAGAUCCGGAGAUAUCCGUAAUGGGGGAACCCGGCACCGCGAGGUGUCACCUUGAAUAGAUAGAUAGCAUUAAGGAGGAAGACGCAGUGAACUGAAACAUCUAAGGUACC
rnacentral:rRNA from 1 species